ACGAACGCUGGCGGCGUGCUUCACACAUGCAAGUCGAACGGAAAGGCCCUGCUUUUGUGGGGUGCUCGAGUGGCGAACGGGUGAGUAACACGUGAGUAACCUGCCCUUGACUUUGGGAUAACUUCAGGAAACUGGGGCUAAUACCGGAUAGGAGCUCCUGCUGCAUGGUGGGGGUUGGAAAGUUUCGGCGGUUGGGGAUGGACUCGCGGCUUAUCAGCUUGUUCGUGGGGUAGUGGCUUACCAAGGCUUUGACGGGUAGCCGGCCUGAGAGGGUGACCGGCCACAUUGGGACUGAGAUACGGCCCAGACUCCUACGGGAGGCAGCAGUGGGGAAUAUUGCACAAUGGGCGGAAGCCUGAUGCAGCAACGCCGCGUGCGGGAUGACGGCCUUCGGGUUGUAAACCGCUUUCGCCUGUGACGAAGCGUGAGUGACGGUAAUGGGUAAAGAAGCACCGGCUAACUACGUG
rnacentral:rRNA from 1 species